UGGGGAAUUUUGGACAAUGGGCGCAAGCCUGAUCCAGCCAUGCCGCGUGCGGGAAGAAGGCCUUCGGGUUGUAAACCGCUUUUGUCAGGGAAGAAAUCUUCUGAGUUAAUACCUCGGGAGGAUGACGGUACCUGAAGAAUAAGCACCGGCUAACUACGUGCCAGCAGCCGCGGUAACACGUAGGGUGCAAGCGUUAAUCGGAAUUACUGGGCGUAAAGCGUGCGCAGGCGGUUUUGUAAGACAGAGGUGAAAUCCCCGGGCUCAACCUGGGAACUGCCUUUGUGACUGCAAGGCUUGAGUGCGGCAGAGGGGGAUGGAAUUCCGCGUGUAGCAGUGAAAUGCGUAGAUAUGCGGAGGAACACCGAUGGCGAAGGCAAUCCCCUGGGCCUGCACUGACGCUCAUGCACGAAAGCGUGGGGAGCAAACAGGAUUAGAUACCCUGGUAGUCCACGCCCUAAACGAUGUCAACUGGGUUGUUGGGAAGGUUCCUUCUCAGUAACGUAGCUAACGCGUGAAGUUGACCGCCUGGGGAGUACGGCCGCAAGGUUGAAACUCAAAUGAAUUGACGGGGUCAUAGCUGUUUCCUG
rnacentral:rRNA from 1 species